UUGCUUUUCUGAGCCCAUGACUUUCAUCUUGGUUUUAAGGAGGCUUCCCUCUAUGAAUCUAAAAUUUAUUGUAUGUGGAAUACAAAUUGAAUAAAUUAAAAUUCUGCUUCUGAUAUCUAAAAUGAAUUGUACAGCAAGAUAACAGCCAUGUUAGCUAAGUAGUUCUCUAGCGAUGGAAAGAGGUCACUCCUACCUAAGGCCGCCAGGCCUUCCCUGGGGUAAAACACACUCCUUUUUGAACUAAGGGGAACUGAGGCAAGAAGAAAAGAGUAAGAAAGUGGCAGUGAAGGGAGCAGAUGUCUCUGUACUUUUCUCUCUCUGGGCUUUGGCUCUGGCCUAGAGCUGAGCACACAGAGAGUAGAGAGGUACUCUUUCUUCCUCUUCAUCAUUUGAGACUCUGGGAGGAAGCAACCAUGCUGGCUGCCUUACACCAAGUUGAAGCACAGUCACCUAAAAAUGAACUACGGUCAGGUAGCUUUCCUGGGCUGCCUUUGAUCCUAUGUAGUAUACACUGACCCCAAGUUAUUGAGCAUCUGACUGGAGAGCUUGCCAGGAGUCACCUUAGCAGAACACGAGGCCUAGUGGCCAGGAUUUUAGAGAAUACUUGGACCAAAUGAGAGGCACAGCCAGACCCAGAGCAGUGACCUGGACUAGUGGGAGAUAAUGAGACAUAGCCAGCCAGGGGUCACUACUGUGAGACCAGAGAAGCCAAAUCACAGUUGCACCCAACUUAAACUUCAGCCUUAAAUACCUCCAAAGGGACCUUGAGGAUGCCAGUGUGACCAGAGAGAAGCCUAAGGGACAGAGACAGGAGAGGAGGUCAGAGAGGUGACUGUGAUCAAAUCACAUAGGCUCUUCCAGGAUACUGUAAAACCUAAAUCUGUACCCAGAGGGACAUAGAGAUCAUUUAAGAACUUAGAGCAGAAGAGCGGCAUGAUCUGACAAGUUUUUAAAAGGACAUUGGGGCUGCUGUCUUGCAACUAGAUGGGAAGAAGCAAGAGGACAAGAUGAGAGACUUGUAAGAAGAGGCUACUACGGUGAUCAGGUAGCUGAGAAGCUUGCCUGAAUUCCACAGGAGAAUUGUAGGUCCUACAGCGGGAGGAAACAGUGCUUCCUCUUACCUCACAGCUCUUGUAUCCAGAACAUGCAGGCUCCUGAAGGCAGGAGUCAAUGAGAGCCCAGGACCACACAAUGACUUUGGAUGCACCUAUGGAAAGGGGCAAGAGUAGAGAAAUCAUAAGUCCAUUUAUUUGGGUCUCCUAUAAUAUAUUUUAGUGAAGAUAAAUAACUUUCCUUCAUAGCAGUCUUGCACAAGUUUUGAAUCUUCUCUUUAAUUAUGUUUUCUAGCUGUUUCUUGCUGGUGAAUAGAAAUACCUCUGACUUAUAUAUUAAUCUUAUAUCCAGCUACCUGAUAAGCUCUAUUUUUUCAAUAAUUUAUAUACCCUUUUGCGUUUUCUGUAUAAGCAAUAAUGUCUGAGUGUGGCGGUUUCACUUUCUCCUUUCCAAUUAUUAGGUCUGUAAAAGCAGGGUAAUAAAUGGAAUUGCACUGUUGUAAGGUUAUUACAUUUGUGAAGCGGGGAAUGUAAAAUGUCAAGUGGAAAGUGAUAAUUGAAAAAUGGGAAACAACUGUUGGAUAUAAAAUGUAAAGUGUGAAUAGCAACAAUAUCGAUAGUAAAUAGACACUGAUGAGGUAAGUGAUCCUAAUGUUAGUCUUAGAACAAACUGAGAGACUAAGAGAAAAAUUACCAGGUGUACUCACAACUGCAAAGA